rnacentral:rRNA from 1 species
AGCGAACGCUGGCGGCAGGCCUAACACAUGCAAGUCGAGCGAAGUCUUCGGACUUAGUGGCGGACGGGUGAGUAACACGUGGGAACGUGCCUUUAGGUUCGGAAUAACUCAGGGAAACUUGUGCUAAUACCGAAUGUGCCCUUCGGGGGAAAGAUUUAUCGCCUUUAGAGCGGCCCGCGUCUGAUUAGCUAGUUGGUGAGGUAAAGGCUCACCAAGGCGACGAUCAGUAGCUGGUCUGAGAGGAUGAUCAGCCACAUUGGGACUGAGACACGGCCCAUACUCCUGCGGGAGGCAGCAGUGGGGAAUCUUGCGCAAUGGGCGAAAGCCUGACGCAGCCAUGCCGCGUGAAUGAUGAAGGUCUUAGGAUUGUAAAAUUCUUUCACCGGGGACGAUAAUGACGGUACCCGGAGAAGAAGCCCCGGCUAACUUCGUGCCAGCCGCCGCAGUAAUAC